rnacentral:rRNA from 1 species
UACAGGGGGUGCAAACGUUGCUCGGAAUUAUUGGGCGUAAAGAGCUCGUAGGCGGUCUGUCGCGUCGAAUGUGAAAACCCGGGGCUCAACUCCGGGCUUGCAUUCGAUACGGGCAGGCUAGAGUUCGGUAGGGGAGUCUGGAAUUCCUGGUGUAGCGGUGAAAUGCGCAGAUAUCAGGAGGAACACCGGUGGCGAAGUCGGGACUCUGGGCCGAUACUGACGCUGAGGAGCGAAAGCGUGGGGAGCGAACAGG